UGAAGUCCAAUAUAUGGAUAGACACAAAUAUCUAAUGAUCCAUUUGACUGCAUUGUAAUGGAAAAUUUCUGACACAACUCUCUGAGGUCUGAAUAGAACUGGCAUUGGAGUUAAUGGCAGUUGGUUGUCCACUUGUAGCCCACACAUUCUGAGUUUGAAUCUGGAACACAGGAGAUAUUGUAUUUUCAAAAUCAAAAUUCGUAAAUAAUGCGAUAACCAGACAAAAAUGUCUUAUAAAAUUAUUUUCAAAUUUCUGGAAAAUGGACGAGUUAUACCAGUCAACAAGAUAUUAGGUUUGCACUGUACUUUCACCAGGAAACUAGAGAAAAUGUACGUGAAAAAAUAUAAAUGCAAAUCUUACCUA
rnacentral:lncRNA from 1 species